rnacentral:lncRNA from 1 species
UGGAAAAAGGGAUUUACAGCAAGUUUUUCUUCUUCUGAUGAGGCACUGGACUGGCAUGGCUUUUACCGAGGCAGCAGGUCGCUGUAUGUACAAGGAAGAAGGUGCCUGCCCGUGAUUUGCUGUUAUUCCGUGGAGGAUUUCGCAUCAGUUCCCUGAUUGCGUGCUUGGAUGAUGGGGCCUCUGUGUAUGCAGAUGACCGUCGUAGUGUUAGUUUUCCUAUUAUUAUGCUGAACGAUCAAAAAAUUUUAAAUGUCAUUGAAAACCAUAGUAUAUUUAAAACAAAUAAAACAGAGUCUAGUAGCAUACUGCCCUUCAAAUGGAAUUGUACUCUCAAAUUGUGAACGCUUUCUUGCAUGCUGCUCCUCACUUUCUCGGUUUAAAUUCCCUUCUUGCAGCCUCACAGUCUGAGAUGCCACGGAGAAUUUGUGUUAUGUCACAGUUACUUAGUUGCAGGAUGUCAUCCCAGUUGUACCAUUUCUGCCUCCUGUUUCUGAAGCCUUUUCUCGACAAGCACAUGCAGUUUUACCAGGGUUCUUCUGAAUGAUCCUCAUCCAAUAAUUUAAGCAACUUCUGCAUUAUGGUGCUGUGAAGUCCAUUAAAUUAAUGUCCAGGCAUCACAGAAGAAUGCUGACUAGAAUGCAUUUUACUUCGCUCAUCUGCAGCUACCAAAUACUCUGGAUGCUGUCCCCAGCUGUGAAGUCCACGGUGGCAUCCAGGGACUGUUCAAAACCUCACCAGGGCUGGCUGGCGACUGCAGAAAGGGAGCCAGUGGAGGAUGGGUGGCUCAUCCAAGUGCACUGCUGUUUCUGAAGAGUUUUUGGUUUAUAUAUAGGCAGGCAAGCAAGGUAGGCCCAGGAUAAAGUACUGUAGAAAUAACUUCUUUUUCUACUUUGCUGUUUUAUAGUAAUGACAGGAAAUAGUUGCAUUCAUUGACUUCACAGAGCUAGGGAGCUGUGGAAAGCAUGGGUAAAAGGAGGGAAAUGUGAGUCCAGGGGAGAUCCAUCACAAUCUGAAAGAAGUGCAGAUGUUGGAGUGACAGGAAAAAGCACCAGAUCUCAUGAAGAAAUAAGGAGAAGUGAAACGUGGGCAGAAACAAGAGGAUGAAUGAAAGGAAAAUCCCAUAAUUGUUUUUCUAGCUGUUAUCUUUAAGAUUUGAGGGCAUGUGGAAUAAUCCACAGCUUCAGUGCCCUGACAUUGUGACUUAGCAGGUGGAACAGAAACAGAAGGGUUCAAGGAUGGUUCUGGAAAGUGAGUCUCAAGGCCAGGCCUUGGAGUUCAGCAGCACUUGGGAAUCACUUGCUUCUCAGGUGGUUCUUUUGUGCCUGACAAAACUUCCCCUUCUUCCCAACAAGCUGAAUAUCUUUCCAAGAUAACCUUCUCACUGGAAAAUGAAGUUAAGUGAUCUCUGCAUUACAGAGGGGGGGAAAUUCCUGGUGGUACUGACUCCCAGCUGGAGCUCUUUGUGUUCAACAUUUGUGGCCUGUGCCCAGCCCACAAAAUACUAACAGCCUCCUUUUGCUUUUCACAAAGGCUUGCCUGCUUAC